rnacentral:sRNA from 1 species
UGGCACAGGAUAACGGGCCGUCCCUCGGC